GCAUUGAAACACCUGUUUCCAUACGAUCAUGGAAGUUAAGCAACAUCGAGCCUGGUCAGUACCUAGAUGGGUGACCACUUGUGAAUAACAGGUUCUGUA